CCUACGUGAGGCAGCAGUGAGGAAUAUUGGUCAAUGGGCGCGAGCCUGAACCAGCCAAGUAGCGUGAAGGAUGACUGCCCUACGGGUUGUAAACUUCUUUUAUAAAGGAAUAAAGUGAGGCACGUGUGCCUUUUUGUAUGUACUUUAUGAAUAAGGAUCGGCUAACUCCGUGCCAGCAGCCGCGGUAAUACGGAGGAUCCGAGCGUUAUCCGGAUUUAUUGGGUUUAAAGGGAGCGUAGAUGGGUUGUUAAGUCAGUUGUGAAAGUUUGCGGCUCAACCGUAAAAUUGCAAUUGAUACUGUCAGUCUUGAGUACAGUUGAGGUAGGCGGAAUUCGUGGUGUAGCGGUGAAAUGCUUAGAUAUCACGAAGAACUCCGAUUGCGAAGGCAGCUUACUAAACUGCCACUGACAUUGAUGCUCGAAAGUGUGGGUAUCAAACAGGAUUAGAUACCCUUGUAGUC
rnacentral:rRNA from 1 species